UUGAGCGCGGGAAGCUGCUGUGUGCCGGUAUGCCGGGGUAGGCUAGACAGCUCAAAAUUUUCUGUUUGUACUUACGAGGCAGCAGUAUUUGACAGAAAAUAAUAAUACUUUGAUGCUCUUCUCACGCCUACAAGCGAAGGCGGCGUGAUUAACAACACAGCGUAAUGCGCAACGGUGAACGCCAACGAACUCCACCACCAACCUGGACGAAGCAUUUUGGAUAAUGAAUGGCUACCUGAACACUGCUUGAAGCGGCAAGCUCUACAGUAUCACUUAUGCUCCUUUCCAUGGGUUGGCAAGAGGAACCGUGGCACGCAGCUCCACAGGCACCUGUGCUCUUCACUACCUUCGGAGAAGAUGCAUUGGAUGCUCCCUAUCAUGCACUGCCAUCUCAACAGUACCAUGGCUUUUUGUGUGGAUUCCUUCCAUUCUGAAUGCCACCACUGCUUGCACAGCAUCACAGCCUGCCUGCCUUGAUCUUGCGGAAGAAGAAAAUACAAAAUGCCGAUUUUUUGAAAUGCGUGCAUGGCUCCACGCAAGACACCACCUGCCGUCAGGGUGUUAGGGCUUUGUGCAGAGAAAAUGUUUGUAAUAAUGCCUUGUGUGUGCCCUAGUGGCUAAAUGUUGGCCUCUUUGCCUGUGUAAAAAUUUCACACUUAUGGAUACUGCUAAGGGUUCCUGCAUUAUUAUUACUUACAGGUUACUGUUAAGGAUUCCUGUAUUGGAAAUUUUUGUUUCAUUAUAAAACUAAAAAUUAUAGUUGAAUUGCUGCUUUGUGUGAUAUGCAAUAUUCAGCCGAAGGUGGUCAGCAGAGGUCGAACAAGCGUUAUAUCAGGUGGAGAAUUUUUUUUGAGCAGGGGACUUCUUCGUUAGGGUAACAACUGUUUUCCUUGGCAUUAUUUAUAUAGUUCACUUUUCUCCACUUCAUGGAUAUCCAGCAAAAUGACUGAGUGCAUAGGGAGGGUGAGGCAAGUUUAAAUGCUCAACAUGGGGAUUUAGUUUGGAUAGCAAGGUGUGUAGAAGUAUGGGAGUUUGGCAGGCUGCUGACACCGAUUUCUAUGAGUGAUCUUGUUUGUGUCAAUGUCGGUUAUAUAAUGCGAGGCGUCUUCUGAGGCAAGAAACUAAAAAGCUCCUUAUAGUUGUGGAAAUUCAGUACGUGCCCCCUGGGGCUACCAUGGGUGUGUCACUGUGGCCAUUGGUUAUCACUUGGGGCACAACUUUUUUGACACAAACUUGUGUAUGUACACUGGGUGUGUGCCACUGCAUGUGUGCCACUCUUUAAUGGACCUCUUUGAUGCCGACUUGUAUGCUGACCAAGCUUGUACAGCACGAUCUGCGGCCGAGACUUGUCUAUUGGUGGUGUAGUGGGCGGAUUUUGUUCUGUGCGAGUGCGCGUUCGAUCGUGCGAUGACGAGGCUUCAGCGCACCUAUAGCGGAAUCGGCGAAAUGCACUAGCCUUAAAGAUGGUCGCCGCAAGCCGCUGAAUCUCGGAAGCCCUGAUUUCAGUUUCGCUUCUUUUAUUAUUUUUUUUUGCGUGACCCAUAACGUUGCUUAAAUCGAGGGAUUUCAUGCAGGCGCUUGUGCCACUGUUUAUAUGUUGCGACGACAAGCGCUCAAUGGUGUUUCACUUUAUGUUAGUUUUAUUUAAAUUCAUAUUUGCUGUUUCAACGUCUAACUUUGCGCAACAGCCAUGCUAACUGUUGAGGAAGAAGAACUUUAUCUCUUGUGGUAUUGUACGCCUAGUAACUCACGCUAAAAUGUGUAUCGUAAAUAAAUGUGCCAUGUUCCUUAAAUAUAAAUGAACUCGCUUGAAAGUGAAGAACACGAAUA